rnacentral:misc_RNA from 1 species
GUGAAUCAUCGAAUCUUUGAACGCAACUGGCGCUUUUUGGUAUUCCAAAAAGCAUGCCUGUUUGAUACCGUAAACCAAAAUGAACAUAGAAUUUAUUUUAUGGUCAUCUAUGGAUGUUUCUUCAAUUUGAAGUCAUCUAAAAUAUAUUUUAUAAUAGUGAACCUCUUAGCAAUUUUAAGACGUGAUAAUAUUUCUCUUGAAGAACUUUUCUCACUUAUUGAUUUUGCUUAAUGUUCUGCUAAUAAAUGUUUGUGCUCACUUCUUGUAAGUGUGUACAACCCUGAAGGUCGGUAUCAAAUC